rnacentral:rRNA from 1 species
GACGAAGGGGGCUAGCGUUGUUCGGAAUUACUGGGCGUAAAGCGAGUGUAGGUGGUUUGCCAAGUUGGGUGUGAAAGCCUUGAGCUCAACUCAAGAAAUGCACUCAGUACUGGCAGACUAGAGGACCGGAGAGGAGAGUGGAAUUCCCAGUGUAGUGGUGAAAUACGUAGAGAUUGGGAAGAACACCAGUGGCGAAGGCGGCUAUCUGGACGGUUUCUGACGCUAAGGCUCGAAAGCGUGGGGAGCAAACAGG